CACGGGUGAGUAACACGUAUCCAACCUGCCGUCUACUCUUGGACAGCCUUCUGAAAGGAAGAUAAUACAAGAUGGCAUCAUGAGUCCGCAUGUUCACAUGAUUAAAGGUAUUCCGGUAGACGAUGGGGAUGCGUUCCAUUAGAUAGUAGGCGGGGUAACGGCCCACCUAGUCUACGAUGGAUAGGGGUUCUGAGAGGAAGGUCCCCCACAUUGGAACUGAGACACGGUCCAA
rnacentral:rRNA from 1 species